rnacentral:tRNA from 2 species
GCCCUUGUAGCUCAGUUGGUAGAGCAACGGUUUUGUAAACCGAAGGUCGCGGGUUCGAGUCCUGCCGGGGGCACCA